GAGAGAGAGAGAGAGAUGAAAUCUUGGAAGAAGAGAGAUCGAAGUGAAGAAACGACGAAGAAUUUACUAGAUUUGGUUCGAUCACCGUUGCUAGGACAAAAUGUAAAAGAGAUUGAUCAGUGACAAGUUUUUUUAGGGCUUCCAGGUCAGACUUCGAACUUUUUAUACUUCGAUUAUGAUAAUUUUGAGUUUAGGGUUUAUGAUUAUGUUUGAUUUUUCUUCAUUUUUACGGAAUUUCUGGUUGUAUAGGUUUGGUUUAUGAAAUGUAUGUCUAAAGGGUUUGAUUCGAAAAUAUACAUUUAGGGUUUUUAUGUUUUGUCCAAAUUUUUUCAUUGAGAAGUAGGGGUUUGUUAGGUGUUGUAAUUUUUUGAUUGGGUUUAAAGUUUUUGUUAAUUUUUGUUAAUUUUGUUAAUUUUCUGUAAAAAAUACUAUAAUUUAGUUUUUUUUUUCCUUCUCAUUCUAUAUCUUCUGAUUGUUAAUUUAUUGUUAGAAAUAGUUUUAUUUUCUUGAUUUCAUAAGAAAUACUGAAAAUUAGGAAUUUUGGUUUAUUUGCAAAAUUUAAGGCUUUUAUUUCUUUCUGUUAUGAAGUUUGGGCAUUUUUCUUUUAUUUCUACUACUUAUGAAUUUUCUUAGAUGUAACAUGAUAUUAGUUCAAUUUUGUUACAUUUGGAUGAGUAAUGGUUGAAUGGAGUAGUAUUUUUAUACUUAAUUGUUACUCAUUAUGAUCACAAUAUGGCUGCAUUCUCUUAUUUUGAUUUAAUCAUCAACUACAAAGGCAAAAUGGGCACAAUAUACGAUGUGGACCCAAACAUGUAUUGCUACAUUGAUGCCUUGAAGUAUAUGACUGAAAUAGUCCUCUCUCGCAUUGAUUGUAGUGAAGCAAUAGCUAUCACAUUGCAUUAUGAUAUGCCUGGUACUGAGAAUAUGAGAUUAAUAAAAAAGAUCUUGAUGUGUUGGAUAUGUUUUAUGUGCAAGGUAGGAGUAAAACAAUUAACUUAUAUGUAGAUAUUGCAUAUUGUAUUGGAAAGGAAGAUGGUGGAAGUAGAAAUGAUGUUGGAGAUAACAAUGGUGGAGAUGGAAAUAGUGGAGUUCAUGGAGUGCAUACUGUAGAGGUAGAUGAAGAGUACCAUGACGACAAUGUGUAUGGGUUUAGUGAUGAGGAUAGAGAUUGGAAUGCAAGUGUUGAUGGUGAACAUGAAUCAAAUGGCACUGUCAAUUUGAGUGAUGAGGAUAAUGAAGAGUCUAAUGAAGAUGAUGGACUUAGUGAUUACCAAUCUGGUGAUGAUGAAGUAAGAUAUUCUAGCAGUGAUGAUGAAUUUGAUGGUGAAGUAGACUGGAUGGAUGAUGAAGAGAUGAGGUAUCCAGCCAACCAAUUUCAUAGUACUUACAGUGGGAAAGAGCCAUUUUUGAAUCAAGAAGGAGAAGUUGUACUGAAAAAGGUAGUGAUUUUUCCAAAUGUGCAUAGCUUCAGAGCUAGAUUUAGGACUAUACAGUGCAGACUAGUUUCAAGAUAGUUAGGGACAAAAAUGAGAAAGCCAGAGUGACAGCCCAUUGUGCUGCUGAGGGAUGCCCUUGGAGAAUUCAUGCAUCUCCUCUUCCAGAUGGGAUCACUUACAAGAUCAAAACCUUGGUACCUAAUCACACAUGUAGUAGAAUGAACCAAAAUAGUGAAACAACAUCAACUUGGAUUGCCAAGAAAUUGGUUGAUAGUUUUAAGAAGAAUCCACACAUGGGGUUAGACAUUAUGCAAGUGAAGCUUAACAAACUUUAUGGGAUUGAGGCCUUAAGAAUGCAAUUGUAUAGAGCCAAAAGGAAGUACAAGGAGGAGCUGGAGGGUGAUCAUGGCAGCCAGUACGUGUUGCUGCCAACAUAUGUUGAGGAAAUUAAGAAAACAAACCCUGGUAGCUUAGCUGUCAUAAAUUAUGAGCUGCCUCCUACCCCAGUCUCAGAAGAUAGAAAAGAACCAGACCCUACUCCUAUUCCUCAGUAACCAUUGUUCCAAAGAAUCUUCAUAUCAUUUGAGGCAAUGAAAAAAGGGUUUAUUGAUGGAUGUAGGCCCUUCAUAUGGAUGGAUGGUUGUCACUCGAAGGGUCCCUAUGGUGGAGUGUUAAUUUCAACAGUUGCCUUAGAUGGAAAUAAUGGUUUGUUUCCAUUGGCAUUAGCAGUAGUGGAGGGUGAAUGUAAGGACAACUGGACAUUCUUUUUGGAGAACUUGAGAACAAUCAUACAAGAUGCACUGCCUUCUAGGCCAUGGACCAUUUGUCUGCUCAACAAAAGGGCCUUGACAAGAUUGUGAGUGACAUUAUACCAGAGGCUACUCAUAGAAGAUGUUGCAUGCACUUAUUCAACAAUUUUAGAGCAAAAUUUCCUGGAUUGAUGUUGAGGAAGCAAUUCUAGAAGGCAGCAAGGGCAUAUAAUCAGAGGGAGUAUGAGCAGGCUAUGCAAGCCAUCAAGGAUAUGUCAAAUGAUGCUUUCAUAUGGUUGCAAAAAGUGCACGUUGAAGGAAGGGCUAGGCAUGCAUUUGAUGGUAGAAUAAGGAAUGAUCACAUCACAAAUAACAUGAUAGAGUCCUUCAAUAAUUAGUUGGGAAAUAUGAGAUGUCAGCAUAUUUUAACCAUGUUAGAGAACAUAAGGUGCAAGUUGAUAGGUAAGUUGCACAUGAGAUAUUAGAAGGCUCUACAAUGGAAGUCUAAUGUCACUUUGAACAUUAAGAAACAACUUUAGGUCACACUGAAAUGGUCAAGAUAUUGUAGAGUAGAGUAUGCAGGAGGUCAAGAGUAUGAGGCGGAGGAUAAUGAAGGGGUAAAUCACAUUGUCCAUCUUGGCAUGAUGACUUGUGUAUGUAGAGAGUGGGAAAUUUCUGGGGUUCUAUGCAAACAUGUUGUGGCUGCAAUUUCUCAUAGUAGAUUGACCUUAGAAGAUUUUUUCCACCCAUACUACUCUAAGCAAACUAACUUGACAGCUAAUGGUGGGAUAAUGCAUCCUAUCUUAGACCAUACCAUGUGGACACUUAUACAAGGGGACCUUUUACAACCUCCACCUCUAAAAAGAUUGCCAGGGAGACCAAAGAAUGCUAGGAAGAGGGCUGCUCAUGAGCCUCCAAUUGGAACAAGUCAAAGCAAGAGGUCUAGUAUCUUGAGAUGCAAUUGGUGCAUGCAAUUUGGACACAAUAGGAGAACCUGCCAAAGAGGUCCAGUAAGGGGUGAAACUAGUGGCAGUGGCAGAACUGGUGGUAGGGGCAAUGACACCACUGCUGAUAAGGUUAGAGGUUCUGUGAGGGGCAAUUCAGUUGGAAAGGGUAACUCAUCUGGAAGAGGCACUUCAUCUGGGAGGGGCACUUCAACUGGGAGGGAAAAAUCAACUGGCAAAGGUAGGGGCAAGGCCAAUGCCAAGCAUGUUUGAAUAUGAAUUAGCUAUGAUGAUGAUGAUGUUUUUGGUACAAGUACUUGUCAUAACUUUAAAGUAUAUAAUACAUAUUGCUUUAGUGCAUAGUUAGUGAAGAUCAUGUUCCACUUUUUGUAUUUUUGUAGUGGACAUGAAAUAGUAAGCAUAGACCAUGAAGACAAUGUUCCACUUUUUGUAUUUUUCUAGUGGACAUAGCAGCUAGUACAAAAUGUAAUGGAAUGAUGUAUAGUGCAUACUUGGUGUUUACAUUUAUAUUUUGGGAAUAUAAUGGAAUGAUGUAUAGUCAAACAACUGCAUCAUACUUAUAUAUUGAUGAUCACAUAAGGUCCAUUACAAAACAUUCUUACAAAACAUUACAAAAGCUUUAAAGUCCUAGCAAUUCCUAUUACAUUUUCAGAGCAACCAUCAAGGAAAUCAAACAUAAUACAACAUUCAUGAUCAUUACUAUCUUCAUAAACCCCAUGUUUGCUUCAAGAACUUGCAUCCUUGUUUGCAUAGCCCCUAUUUGGUUCAUUAAAUUCACUAUAGUGGUAUCUUCUUCAUAUGGUAGAGUGUGUCUGUUAACAGUAGCUUCAGUGUCUUCCAUCAUCAUUUGUCCUCCAACAGAUGAGUUUCUUGGUUUGCACCAAUCCCAGAAAGAGCAUUUCCCAUGUGGGCAUAAAUAAUACAAUUUGCCUCUAUUUUUCUCUGAUUCAGUGACUUUAAUUGUUGCUUUGCUCCCACAAUAGCAGAUCUUACUUCUAAACUUGAUCACCCCCUCUCCAUUACUUGAUGAUGACAUAUCCAUACGAUCCUACAUUUUAUGGAAU